AGCUCCAGUAGCGUAUAUUAAAGUUGUUGCAGUUAAAAAGCUCGUAGUUGGACUUCUGGUUUGGCGCGCUUGGCCCGCUCCCAUUGGGACGUGAGUGCUGAUGCGCGCUUGCCAUCCUUCCAGAGAACGUUUCUACCCUUAAUUGGGCCGGAUUCGCGAUCUGGAUCAUUUACUUUGAAAAAAUUAGAGUGUUUAAAGCAGGCUUGUGCCAUGAAUACAUUAGCAUGGAAUAAUAAUUUAGGACUUUGGUUCUAUUUUGUUGGUUUUCUGGACCGAAGUAAUGAUUGAUAGGGAUAGUUGGGGGUGCUAGUAUUCAGCGGCCAGAGGUGAAAUUCUUGGAUUCGCUGAAGACUAACUUAUGCGAAAGCAUUCACCAAGGAUGUCUUCU
rnacentral:rRNA from 1 species